rnacentral:rRNA from 1 species
AAUCUUACGCAAUGGGCGAAAGCCUGACGCAGCCAUGCCGCGUGAAAGAUGACGGACUUAGGAUUGUAAAAUUCUUUCACCGGGGACGAGAAUGACGGUACCCGGCGAAGAAGCCCCGGCUACAUUCCUUCCAGCAGCCGCGGUAAUACGAAGGGGGCUAGCGUUGGUCGGAAUUACUGGGCGUAAAGGGCGCGUAGGCGGGUCGUUAAGUCAGGGGUGAAAUCCCGGGGAUCAACCUCGGAACUGCCGUUGAUACUGGCGGUCUUGAGUAUGAGAGAGGUAUGUGGAACUCCGAGUGUAGAGGUGAAAUUCGUAGAUAUUCGGAAGAACACCAGUGGCGAAGGCGACAUACUGGCUCAUUACUGACGCUGAGGCGCGAAAGCGUGGGGAGCAAACAG